UUCUUCUUUUUCCAUUUCCAAACGUUCCCGACGCAGCUUCUUCUUCAAAAUCUUCUCCAUCCUCUUCUUUGUUGUCUCAGAAAAAAAUCGAUCACAAGAUUCGCUGUUAUGAGGUUGAGGAAAGUUAAAAGUUGAUUUUCCUUUAAAUCUAUCGAGGAUGGUGAAGGAAUAAAACCCUAAAUCAUUUUUUGUUGUUAUGCUUUUGUUGCUGUUAACUGAGAGAUGAUUUCACGAGCAACUUUGUUAUACUUCAUUAGCUUAGAUUUCAACUUCGAUUAAGAAUCCUAAGUAAAUCUUCUUUAAAUUUUAAUUUCAGUUGUAAACCCUAACUAAUUUUUUUUUUUAUUUCAGACACCUCCAGAUUCAAAUAUAUAGGGCUUCUGAAUAAGACCUUCAGGGAAACUAAUAACUGGUUGUUUGUGAUUUUAAUUUCACCCACCUCUCGGUUUCAAUCUCAAUUCUACACCAUUUUUUGAUGUGUGUGUGGAUCUAAUAACUGGUUGUUUGUGAAUUGUGCUGGAAAACUUAGAGGAAAACUCACAAGAGAAGAAGCCUUGAGGUAGAUUUCACAAGAGGAUGCAAUACAACAGAUGUUUCGUUACUGCUGUAAUAGCAGCAAUGAGCACUCAUGAGUACCGAUUUGAGGUGAAACAAGAGGAGAAGUUUGGUUCUUUUGGAGCCUCAUGGUUAAUCCACUGGGAUGAAGUGCUGCAGUAUUUUUGAAGGCCUGUGGAAUAUAUAGGAACAUGAAAACUUAAUGGAAAAGAAAUCACUAAGCACCCCAUGACACAAACAGAAUGUGUCCCUCUGAUGAACCCAAUGGGUUAAAUGGAAGAGAGUGGAAGGAUCUUCUGUAAUUUUGGACUACUUACCAUCAGCAACGUCAAAAGAAGAGGCCAUGAAAAGGCCAAGCAUACAAUGGGGCAGAAAACUUUUCUCGAUGCAAAUCUAAAUUGAGGCCUGGGAGUCGAUGGCCUGCAACAGAGACUGUUCAUGCGUUAAGAAAUGGAGUUGCUGCAAUGAAGUCAAACCCCAUUGGAGCCGCUGCAGACUUUGAUGAGGAUGAGUUCUAAGCUGAACUUGAGUAGUUGGUCAAGAAGCUUGCAAAGAAGUUCCAUGCUUUUCUAGCCUCAGAGGCUGUUAUCAAGCAGACUCAUUGUCUUCUUGGACCUGGACUUAACAAG